GACGAACGCUGGCGGCGUGCCUAAUACAUGCAUGUAGAAGCUAGUUGCGAACGGGUGAGUAACGCGUAGGAAACUGCCUCAUAGCGGGGGAUAACUAUUGGAAACGAUAGCUAAUACCGCAUACAGUGAGAUGGACCUGCGUUGUAUUAGCUAGUUGGUGAGGUAAAGGCUAACCAAGGCGACGAUCCGUAGCUGGUUUGAGAGGACGACCAGCCACACUGGGACUGAGACACGGCCCAGACUCCUACGGGAGGCAGCAGUGGGGAAUUGUGGACAGUGGGGGAAACCCUGAUCCAGCCAUCCCGCGUGUGCGAUGAAGGCCUUCGGGUUGGAAAGGACUUUUGGCAGGAAAGCGGUACCUGCAGAAUAAGCACCGGCUAACUACGUGCCAGCAGCCGCGGUAAUAC
rnacentral:rRNA from 1 species